UCCAUCUAAGGCUUUGACUACACCACAGUUGUUAUCUGGGAGUUGAAGCCUGGAUCUUUACAGUUCUUAUGCUUCUUUACAGUUAUCCUCUUGUCACUUGCCUCCUGUGACCUUCACCUCAGCCAAGAUUGUCACCUUCACUUGCAGAGGGCCUGCCCUGGGCAACUUUGUCCUCUCUCCAGGCUCACAAGUAUCAGUUGAAGGCUGUCUGUCUCCAGCCUUUCUUUUCUUUCAGCAUCCCAAGCUCCUGGGUCACAACCUCCUUGGAGAUGCCCAGCAUGUUUCCUGUCCUGGAUGCCAUCUCUGGAGACCUGAAUGAACCCACGUGGGCAGACUGUCACUUCAGUGCCCUUGCUCCUCAAGAGGCCAGUGCCCUGCUCUGCCUGUCCCCAUGCUCCCCAAAAAAACUGGUCUCCCCAUUGGCUGCCUCUGAACAAUCACCAGCGAAUGGCCCUCCUCCCCCAGGGGACUUGAGCUGGCCACCUUUCCGGCACACCGGGGCUGCUGGCUCACGCCUGCGCAGCUGCACUCUCCCGCACCCUGUCUCCGUUCUCGCUAGUCACAGUUGCGCAGUAGCAGUGUUCCUCCUUUUAACUGGCAGAUUAAAGGAAGAGAGAUUUGCAUAGCAAUAAAAAGGUAAUUAAAAUUACCAACACAUGAAGAGCCCAUU
rnacentral:lncRNA from 1 species